UACGUAGGGGGCAAGCGUUGUCUGGAUUUAUUGGGCGUAAAGAGCGUGUAGGCGGCCAGGUAGGUCUGCUGUGAAAACUCGAGGCUUAACCUCGAGCUGUCGGCGGAAACCAUCUGGCUAGAGUCCGGAAGAGGAGAAUGGAAUUCCCGGUGUAGCGGUGAAAUGCGCAGAUAUCAGGAAGAACACCCGUGGCGAAAGCGGCUCUCUGGGACGGUACUGACGCUGAGACGCGAAAGCGUGGGGAGCAAACAGG
rnacentral:rRNA from 1 species